CUUGCUUUCUUUGCUGGCGCCGGCGCACGGGUGAGUAACACGUAUCCAACCUGCCCUUUACUCGGGGAUAGCCUUUCGAAAGAAAGAUUAAUACCCGAUAGUAUAAUGAUUCCGCAUGGUUUCAUUAUUAAAGGAUUCCGGUAAAGGAUGGGGAUGCGUUCCAUUAGGUUGUUGGUGAGGUAACGGCUCACCAAGCCUUCGAUGGAUAGGGGUUCUGAGAGGAAGGUCCCCCACAUUGGAACUGAGACACGGUCCAAACUCCUACGGGAGGCAGCAUG
rnacentral:rRNA from 1 species